GAUCUCAGCUCAAGCAAGAGGAACACGCACUGUUUAUUCUUUUCAUUGGCGAAGCGGAGCCGCUGGGUGCAAUCGCCCUAUACCGAGUCGUAUUACAAUCACUGAUCAUCGAUUUACAGCGUCAUGACUGCG
rnacentral:rRNA from 1 species